rnacentral:rRNA from 1 species
AGCUUGCUCCCUGAUGUUAGCGGCGGACGGGUGAGUAACACGUGGGUAACCUGCCUGUAAGACUGGGAUAACUCCGGGAAACCGGGGCUAAUACCGGAUGGUUGUUUGAACCGCAUGGUUCAGACAUAAAAGGUGGCUUCGGCUAUCACUUACAGAUGGACCCGCGGCGCAUUAGCUAGUUGGUGAGGUAACGGCUCACCAAGGCGACGAUGCGUAGCCGACCUGAGAGGGUGAUCGGCCACACUGGGACUGAGACACGGCCCAGACUCCUACGGGAGGCAGCAGUAGGGAAUCUUCCGCAAUGGACGAAAGUCUGACGGAGCAACGCCGCGUGAGUGAUGAAGGUUUUCGGAUCGUAAAGCUCUGUUGUUAGGGAAGAACAAGUGCCGUUCAAAUAGGGCGGCACCUUGACGGUACCUAACCAGAAAGCCACGGCUAACUACGUGCCAGCAGCCGCGGUAAUACGUAGGUGGCAAGCGUUGUCCGGAAUUAUUGGGCGUAAAGGGCUCGCAGGCGGUUUCUUAAGUCUGAUGUGAAAGCCCCCGGCUCAACCGGGGAGGGUCAUUGGAAACUGGGGAACUUGAGUGCAGAAGAGGAGAGUGGAAUUCCACGUGUAGCGGUGAAAUGCGUAGAGAUGUGGAGGAACACCAGUGGCGAAGGCGACUCUCUGGUCUGUAACUGACGCUGAGGAGCGAAAGCGUGGGGAGCGAACAGGAUUAGAUACCCUGGUAGUCCACGCCGUAAACGAUGAGUGCUAAGUGUUAGGGGGUUUCCGCCCCUUAGUGCUGCAGCUAACGCAUUAAGCACUCCGCCUGGGGAGUACGGUCGCAAGACUGAAACUCAAAGGAAUUGACGGGGGCCCGCACAAGCGGUGGAGCAUGUGGUUUAAUUCGAAGCAACGCGAAGAACCUUACCAGGUCUUGACAUCCUCUGACAAUCCUAGAGAUAGGACGUCCCCUUCGGGGGCAGAGUGACAGGUGGUGCAUGGUUGUCGUCAGCUCGUGUCGUGAGAUGUUGGGUUAAGUCCCGCAACGAGCGCAACCCUUGAUCUUAGUUGCCAGCAUUCAGUUGGGCACUCUAAGGUGACUGCCGGUGACAAACCGGAGGAAGGUGGGGAUGACGUCAAAUCAUCAUGCCCCUUAUGACCUGGGCUACACACGUGCUACAAUGGACAG